ACGCAAUUGAUAUUUCAUGUCGAUGUGGAAUAUUCAACUGUACCGAGGCAAAGUUUAUGCAUGGAGGGGUAGGGUUAGCCCCCUCUAGGCCCGGGUAGCCGUGCAUCUUUUCGGAUGCGCGACCACGAUCGUGGAGUUACUCGGGCUGCCUUUGAAAUAGCCUGGUGGGUACCUGUCUUUUCUGAUUAUUCAGAAAAGGGUAAGCCCCUUGGGGUUAGGUUUAAAGAAGUGGUUUUCCACUCGCCCUAACGCGCCCUUGUUUGUUGUUGUGUCACACUGUAAAACUUUGUGCAUAACGGGAAAGGCUUUAGCGAGUCAAUCUCGGGCUCUACCCCUGUAUGGCGGUGGAGGGUAAAGACAACCAUGUUGUGGUAAAACACAACU
rnacentral:misc_RNA from 1 species